rnacentral:miRNA from 1 species
GUAAUGAGUAGAAACAUUUAGAAG